AAGUGUAUCUAUUUUUACUAUUUAAUUAUAGAAAAUUAUUUGAAUAAAACUUAAAAUAUAUUUUUAUUUUUAUAUUUAUUUUAUUAAAAAAUUUUAAUAUUAAUUUUAAAUAUUUUUCGAGCAAAAUAAUUCGUAGCAGCUAAAUUUUUGGGGUGUAAAUGACUUAUUGCAUACUUAGUUAAGGCUUAGUUUGGUAUUGAGACGGAUCUAACGCUAUUAGAUAGAAUGGAGUUGAGAAAAAGUAUAUAGAGAUAUGCAGAAAAUAUAUCGUAAUCGACUAAUCGCAAUAUGCGGAAUACAAUAUUACGUACGGAAACAACCAGGGCAUUUUCCUAUCGUCAUUUCUCACCACACAUAACGCAAUCUCCCCGCAAUCCCAAACGAAGCCUAACAUUAGUCACAAAUCAAAUAACAACAACAACAACAGCAACUAAGUGAUUAUUAGGAACCAAAGUAAUUUUUGUCCUUUCCAAAUCAAAUACUCAACUAUUGGUACACCAUCUUUUAUACCCUCUUUAUUCAAAAUUAUUAUUCUUUUACUUGCCACAUUAAAUUUUUUUACUAUCUUAAUAUUUUAGAUUUAGCCUAGUACUUGUGAGUUUCUAAAUCUGACUAAAGCAUUGUAAGUGAUUAUCGGAUCGAAAAGAUUAAUAGGAUUAAGCGUACUAGAGGUAGAGAAAUCGAAUCGACGAUCUCCAAGAAACAGAGUUAUAUUUUCACUUAAACAAAAAAAUUGUUAUGAACAGCAACGAACCUUCAUUUGCUAAUUAAUUAGUUGAUGCUAAGCACUUAAGUUCAAAAUUUAGUUACUUCACAUUUUCCAGUUAAAUUUAUUUCUAAAAAAAAUUAACGAAACACGUAUUUUUAAAAAAAGAACGAAACGAAUAGCAUGCUACAUUUCUCUAAAAAAUACAGAGAAAAAAGAUAGAGAGACAGAAUUAUAAAAUACCCUCGUUGCACUUUAUUCUGUGGGUUAAUUAAUUCUCUAAAUAAAAUUUUUUAUUAGCUUCAAUUAUGGACCAAUGGUUAUUUCACAUUAUUUAAGAUUCUCAGUUUUUUAAAUUUCGAAUUUGAAAUAUUUUUUUUAUCUUUAUAUUAUUUCAAAACAUAUUAAAUUAUAAUCUAAUAUUUUAAAAUAUAAGUUUACAUAUGACAUCAAACAUUCAUAUAUAUUACACAAUGUAAAAUCAAUUCGGAUUCGGAUAUGUUCGAGUCCGGAUUGGGUACAGAUAAAAUCCAUAUUCGAAUCUAAAUAUGUGGGUUUUUCAUUUUCUAUACUUGUACAUGAAAUUAUAUUCAUUUAGCAUCGAACAAAUCGGCCCCCUUCAGAUUUGGGCUCGAAUUAGGAAUGCAAAUAGAUCCAGAUUGGUGGAGCUCCCACCUCGAUCCACGCGCUGGGUAGUAAAUAG
rnacentral:lncRNA from 1 species